AGUGAACGCUGGCGGUAGGCCUAACACAUGCAAGUCGAACGGCAGCACAGAGGAGCUUGCUCCCUGGGUGGCGAGUGGCGGACGGGUGAGGAAUACAUCGGAAUCUACUCUGUCGUGGGGGAUAACGUAGGGAAACUUACGCUAAUACCGCAUACGACCUACGGGUGAAAGCAGGGGAUCUUCGGACCUUGCGCGAUUGAAUGAGCCGAUGUCGGAUUAGCUAGUUGGCGGGGUAAAGGCCCACCAAGGCGACGAUCCGUAGCUGGUCUGAGAGGAUGAUCAGCCACACUGGAACUGAGGCACGGUCCAGACUCCUACGGAAGGCAGCAGUGGGGAAUAUUGGACAAUGGGCGCAAGCCUGAUCCAGCCAUACCGCGUGGGUGAAGAAGGCCUUCGGGUUGUAAAGCCCUUUUGUUGGGAAAGAAAUCCAUCUGGUUAAUACCCGGGUGGGAUGACGGUACCCAAAGAAUAAGCACCGGCUAACUUCGUGCCAGCAGCCGCCGUA
rnacentral:rRNA from 1 species